rnacentral:rRNA from 1 species
GACGUAGGGUGCAAGCGUUGUCCGGAUUUACUGGGCGUAAAGAGCGCGUAGGCGGUCUGUUAAGUGUGAAGUGAAAUCUCCAGGGCUCAACCCGGAAACUGCUUCGCAUACUGGCAGGCUGGAGGAACGGAGAGGUGAGUGGAAUUCUUGGUGUAGCGGUGAAAUGCGUAGAUAUCGAAGAGGGAACACCUGAGGUGAAGACGGGUUGCUAGGCUGACACUGACGCUGGAGGCGCGAAAGCUACGGGGAGCAAACGGG